UACGUAGGGUGCGAGCGUUAAUCGGAAUUACUGGGCGUAAAGCGUGCGCAGGCGGUUUUGUAAGCCAGAUGUGAAAUCCCCGGGCUUAACCUGGGAAUGGCAUUUGGGACUGCAAGGCUCGAGUGCGGCAGAGGAGACUGGAAUUCCUGGUGUAGCAGUGAAAUGCGUAGAUAUCAGGAGGAACACCGAUGGCGAAGGCAGGUCUCUGGGCUGACACUGACGCUGAUGCGCGAAAGCCAGGGGAGCGAACGGG
rnacentral:rRNA from 1 species